rnacentral:rRNA from 1 species
AUUGAACGCUGGCGGCAGGCCUAACACAUGCAAGUCGAGCGGAGCGGCGGACGGGUGAGUAAUGCCUAGGAAUCUGCCUGGUAGUGGGGGAUAACGUCCGGAAACGACUGCUAAUACCGCAUACUGAAGGAGGGGAUUGCGUCUGAUUAGCUAGUUGGAGGGGUAACGGCCCACCAAGGCGAUGAUCAGUAGCCGGUCUGAGAGGAUGAACGGCCACAUUGGGACUGAGACACGGCCCAGACUCCUACGGGAGGCAGCAGUGGGGAAUAUUGCGCAAUGGGGGCAACCCUGACGCAGCCAUGCCGCGUGAAUGAAGAAGGCCUUCGGGUUGUAAAGUUCUUUCGGUAGCGAGCGUUAACUACAGAAGAAGCACCGGCUAACUCCGUGCCAGCAGCCGCGGUAAUAC